CCUACGGGUGGCAGCAGUGAGGAAUAUUGGUCAAUGGACGAGAGUCUGAACCAGCCAAGUAGCGUGAAGGAUGACUGCCCUAUGGGUUGUAACCUUCUUUUAUAAAGGAAUCAAAUGAGGCACGUGUGCCUUUUUGCAUGUACUUUAUGAAUAAGGAUCGGCUAAAUCCGUGCCAGCAGCCGCGGUAAUACGGAGGAUCCGAGCGUUAUCCGGAUAUAUUGGGAUUAAAGGGAGCGUAGAUGGGUUGUUAAGUCAGUUGUGAACGUUUGCGGGUCAACCGUAAAAUUGCAAUUGAUACUGGCAGUCUUGAGUACAGUUGAGGUAGACGGAAUUCGUGGUGUAGCAGUGAAAUGCUUAGAUAGCACGAAGAACCCCGAUUGCGAAGGCAGCUUACAGGACUGUGACUGACAUUGAUGCUCGAAAGUGUGGGUAUCAAACAGGAUUAGAUACCCGAGUAGUC
rnacentral:rRNA from 1 species